UAUCUCGGAUAAUCGCUAUAGCAAUAUAGAGGAAAGUCCAUGCUCACACAUGCCUGAGAUGGCUGUAGUGAUCGUGCCUGGUGAAACAAUAAGCCAGGGCAUUUAUUUGACGGCAGUGAAACGGUCUAAGUCCUCUGGAUAUGGCCCGAGUAAUUUGAAAGUGCCACAGUGACGUAGCUUGUCCGGAAACGGAGAAGGUGGAACGCGGUAAACCCCUCGAGUGAGCAAUCCAAAUUUGGUAGGAGCACUUUUCUAGCGGAAAUGAACGUAUAGAAGAGGUAGAGUAAUCUACAGACAGAUGAUUAUCACCGGCGUACGAGAGUAACUAGACUCGGUUGCAGUACUAAGGAACAGAACAUGGCUUACAGAG
rnacentral:RNase_P_RNA from 1 species